AAAACAUUUCUGAACGCAACAUAGGGGCGUUAAACAAUCCGCCAUUUUGUCCCAGUGACAAUUUAGGAUUUAAAUUAGUUUUUAACCCGUCUUUUUUUAAUUAAUCCGUUAUUCAAAGUGAUAUUUUGUGAGCUGUGUAGUGUUUAAAAAGCCUGUGAUAUUUUUGUGUAAAACUAUUUUGUUUACGUUACGCAUAUCUUGACGUUAUUAGUUGACCGAUUUUGACGUCGAACGGACAACUAGAUAAUCAAAAUGGGUACAAGAGAGGACGAAUACGAUUAUUUGUUCAAAGUCGUUUUGAUUGGAGACUCGGGAGUGGGUAAAAGCAGUCUUCUUUCGCGUUUCACUAGAAAUGAAUUCAACUUAGAGUCAAAAUCUACAAUAGGAGUGGAAUUUGCAACAAGAAGUAUAGAGGUUGACGGUAAAACCAUAAAAGCUCAAAUAUGGGAUACUGCGGGUCAGGAGAGGUAUCGCGCAAUAACGUCGGCGUACUACCGCGGCGCGGUCGGUGCGCUGCUCGUCUACGACAUCGCGAAACAUCUCUCCUACGAGAACGUUGAGCGAUGGCUGCGCGAACUGCGCGACCACGCCGAUCAGAACAUAUUAAUCAUGCUCGUCGGGAACAAGAGCGAUCUUAGGCACCUCAGAUCUAUCCCAACAGAAGAGGCAAAGGCAUUCGCGGAACGGAACGGGCUUAGUUUUAUUGAAACAUCCGCUCUCGACUCGACUAACGUGGAACCGGCAUUCCAGAAUAUAUUAACGGAGAUCUACAGGAUCGUCUCGCAGAAGCAGAUGCGCGACCCGCCCGAGGGCGACGUGAUCCGGCCCGACGCCGAGCCGGCCGACGUGCGGCCCUCCGGCGCCGACUCCGUGCGCAAGCAGUGCUGCCAGUAGACCGGUACCGGUCAUUGUUGUUGUCGGUCACAUAAACAAAAUGUUGACCAAAGUAAAGUACGAUUCACAAUCGCACAAGGAGCGUCCGCAUGCGGUGGCAUACGAUUGCAAUAAACAGUUUAAUUUUCUCUACCACAUAUAAAGUGAGCUUUUUAAUGCGAGUCAUUGUUAUUGUUGGUGGAAUAAAAAAAAAAA